rnacentral:rRNA from 1 species
AGAGUUUGAUCCUGGCUCAGGAUGAACGCUAGCGACAGGCCUAACACAUGCAAGUCGAGGGGCAGCACAAGGAUAGCAAUAUUCUGGUGGCGACCGGCGCACGGGUGAGUAACACGUAUGCAACCUACCUGUAAGUGGGGAAUAACCCGGAGAAAUCCGGACUAACACCGCAUAAUACUGUUGAACUGCAUGGUUCUACAGUUAAAUAUUAAUAGCUUACAGAUGGGCAUGCGUAUGAUUAGCUAGUUGGUGAGGUAACGGCCCACCAAGGCAUCGAUCAUUAGGGGUUCUGAGAGGAAGGUCCCCCACACUGGUACUGAGAUACGGACCAGACUCCUACGGGAGGCAGCAGUGAGGAAUAUUGGUCAAUGGGCGAGAGCCUGAACCAGCCAAGUCGCGUGAAGGAAGAAGGUUCUAUGGAUUGUAAACUUCUUUUGUAAGGGAAUAAAGUUCGCUACGUGUAGCGUUUUGUAUGUACUUUACGAAUAAGGAUCGGCUAACUCCGUGCCAGCAGCCGCGGU